rnacentral:rRNA from 1 species
AGCAGCCGCGGUAAUUCCAGCUCCAAUAGCGUAUAUUAAAGUUGUUGCAGUUAAAAAGCUCGUAGUUGAAUUUCGGGAUUCGUCCAUUGGUCAGGCUUAACUGUCUGUACUGAUGUGUCGGAUUUCUACCUUCUGAAGAACCUUCAUGCCAUUAAUUUGGUGUGUUGGGGAAUCAGGACUGUUACUUUGAAAAAUUAGAGUGUUUAAAGCAGGCUAACGUCUGAAUACAUUAGCAUGGAAUAAUGAAAUAGGACGGUACGGUUCUAUUUUGUUGGUUUCUAGGAUCGCCGUAAUGAUUAAUAGGGAUAGUUGGGGGCAUUAGUAUUCAAUUGUCAGAGGUGAAAUUCUUGGAUUUAUUGAAGACUAACUACUGCGAAAGCAUUUGCCAAGGAUGUUUUCAUUAAUCAAGAACGAAAGUUAGGGGAUCGAAGACGAUCAGAUACCGUCGUAGUCUUAACCAUAAACUAUGCCGACUAGGGAUUGGACGAUGUUAAUUUUUAAUGACUCGUUCAGCACCUUA